ACAAGACUCCAUUAAGCACAUAGUUGCAAAAAGACACAAAACACUUUAAAAUACAUAAAGUCACAUUUACACAUAACACACAGACAUUUCACAUAUCCCCAGAUAGCUGGGAUCUGAGUGCACAUUAUUAGAUGAAUGGCACUCAGAUCACACAAAUAAGCCUUUCUGCCGGGAAAUAAACAGUUUAACCUGCAGGGCCAUAGUCCAAAGGGAGCAGGCGAGCAACCAGGCUUCUCCAGUUCACAGUGGCGAGGUUGGUUUCGCCACA
rnacentral:lncRNA from 1 species